CGCGCGUGUUUCCACAGAUACCCAGAUGUUCGCGCAUGCAGGGCAGUUGGAUUCGAGAGCUGUCCAAAUACAUGUAUUUUUAUUUCGAUGGCUACAAAAAUAUGCAAGUAUUCAGCCGUUUCAAAUAAUGUUGCAGUCUAAUUAUAGUUGAUAUCGGCUACACUCACACCAUCCACACACGUUAGGUUUUCCAGUUAAUACAAUGUGUACAGUUUUUCAGAAUAUUUAGAAUUAGCUACCAGUUAAAGUGUACAAACAUAUCUAAAUGUCUCCAACGUUAGGAUAUUAAAUGAUGCAGCGCACAUGCAUUCUUUAUGUUACCGUUAGGUCUUUCUGAACAUUUUAAGUCGUGUAUUUUUUCAAUACAUGAAGUCAGCUGCAGGUUAUCUGAUGAAAGUACGUGUUCUAUCUGUUUAAAAGUCAUAUAAAAGUCAUCUGAACCUAACAGGCCUGUCGAGUCCACGUUGUUCCCGCAAUUCCAGUUCCUAAGUAACUUACGCAGGAAUGAGAUCAUUACCAGUCCAUCACCAGUGAAAGAGAUCCUUGGACGCUGGCCAGCUCUACGUUUGAAAUCACAGGUAUGUGCUGAAUUUCAGCGCAUUACCAACCAGAAUUUGACAAACACAUUUUACGCAGAGCUAGACCGCCACAGUUUUUGCCCGAUGACUUUAUAUCGACAGAGAGCAGCGAAGACUGGAAAAACUGCUGAUGCACUUGCUGAAUUUCUUCGGGGUCAUGACUUAAAGGAUCAACAUGAUGUACACACAAGCCGAACAACAGUGCUCUGUGCGCUUCCUGUGUAUCUGAGAGAAGACGCCUCAAAAUUCUUUAAAACAUGCACGAUUGAAGAUGAUUCAGAAGAGCCAGAUGUUGAUUCAUCAGUUGCCCUUUUGACCGUCGUCCAAGAACUCCCAGACAUUGCUCUUCAGCACAAUCAGAGAAGAUUUCGAUCAUCCUUGAGAAUGAAGUUGUCAUAACAGGCCUGCAGAGACUCUCUGAUGCUUUCCUUUUGAUGUUUGGCUUAAUCUAUGCAUUGGAUCUUUCAUAUCCAAAAGAGAUGGCCAACACAUUUGAGUUUAUUCAGAAGGUUCUUUUGGGUCUUGAUGAUGGCAAACUUAAGCCAAGGGUGCUGGCUCUAAAGAAUGACUUGCUGAUUCAUGCACAGUAAUUUUAUACUGUUUGCCUGUGUUGUGUUGUUUUCUUUGAUAUCAGGCAUAUGUGCAAGAUUUCAACAAGAGUUCUUAUUAAAAAAAAUGGUGCUUUGCCUAAAAUGUAAACAAAAACAAAAAUAGCAAUUUCUUCUGUCACAAAGUUCAAUAAAAUUUGUAGACAGCAGAUCAAGAAAGCUUAUUCCUGUUUUGUAUUCAUUAAGGUAAUAUUUUAAUUGAUUUUCUUUGACCAGGUGUGCCUUUUUUUGUAGCACAGAACUGUUUUCACUGUUUUUGUUGGCAUAAUGGCUGUUUAGGUAAUAUUUCAAUGUAUUUUCUUUGACCUGGUGUGCCGUUUUGUUGCACAGAACUGUUUAAUGUCUCAUGUUUUAUAAUACAUUUUUGUACUUUGUUUAAUGAUUUUCAGAUUUGUAAUUUGUACUAAGUUGUAAAAUUUAGAUAUUUGAGUACAGGGAACUUAAAAAAAACAAGGCAAUCAGUUGCCACAAAAUAUUUAAGUAACAUUACUACUACAAUUUAAGUAACAUAAAUUAUAUAAUUUAAUUGAAUAACAUUUAAAGUUCCUUUAAAAUAAGUUUAGAUAAAUGAAAAAUGUUGAUAUAUAUAUGAGGGAUAUUUUAAUUAAGUGAAGUAAUUAAAGUUGUCAGUACUCAAAACUUUGAGUUGAACUAAAAUAAAAAUGAACAAAACCCUAAAUAUAUAUUUUGAUUUAAAUUAAUGUUUAUUUAUAAUUAACAUUUACUCAAAAUAACUAGCUAUAUGCUUACUGAUGAUAUUUAAGUGUGCAAACUUAAAAAAAUAGCGGCAAUCAGUUGCCUUAAUUUUUUUGAGUUAGCAGAACUUAUCUGGGUUUACAGUGUGUGCUACUGGAGAGACUGGCUAAUUGAUAUUGAAGGUACUGUAACUCUAGCAGCUCUGAAUUGGAGAUUGUUCCAUCAUUUCAUUUUAGGUUUAAACUUUAUAUUAUGAUCAUUUUUUUUUACUUAUAAUUUAUUACAAAUGUCCUUUGUAUGAAUGCAUUUUCUAAUUAACUGUAAAUGUUAUUUCCUUCGACUACCGCUGCACAAGUCUUUUGCUGAAUUUAAGUUUUGGAUGGAGUCUGGCAUUAUUCAGUCGCCAACUUUUGGAGUUGCUUAGGU